CGAUGUACCUCCAACUUCACUCGAACCAUCAACCAAAGAACCUCGAAGCAGGGACCUCAACAAAUUUGACGAAAGCGCUCAACUUAAGAGAACAAACUAGUUAGUGCAGGUGGAGUUGCUGUUAUUUAUGGUGAAAAGGAGUUGGCUCGAAAUGGAGAAAGUCCGGCGAAGUGCCGGCAUGGUAGUGAUCUUGACGAAUUGAACAGAUUUGGAAAGGAAAUAGAUGUAGUUUAUGGCCAAGGCAAAGAUUAUAGAGCUCUUAAAUUCACCCGAUAAAUUUGAAAAAAUAAGCUCGAUCUCUUGAAUAAGAAACAAACAGCGGCAUCGGUGAAACUGAACACCACUAGGCGACUCAAACAUAUUUCAUCAGAUGAAAACGAAUGCAAACAAGAAGCUGAAAUAGAUGUGGACGAUUUUCCUAUUUACUCUAUAUUGCAUAUGUGUGUGUUAUCAGUGAAGAAGAAUUCUCAGGGGAGAGGGGAGGGGGCCAGGGCCAUAGGUCUAUUGAUAUGGCAGAUACUUUUAUCCAAGAGUAUAGGGUAUCAUUUCUUAGGUCCUCUCUUUUUG
rnacentral:lncRNA from 1 species